rnacentral:rRNA from 1 species
GUGGGGAAUAUUGGACAAUGGGCGAAAGCCUGAUCCAGCCAUGCCGCGUGUGUGAAGAAGGUCUUCGGAUUGUAAAGCACUUUAAGUUGGGAGGAAGGGCAGUAAGUUAAUACCUUGCUGUUUUGACGUUACCAACAGAAUAAGCACCGGCUAACUUCGUGCCAGCAGCCGCGGUAAUACGAAGGGUGCAAGCGUUAAUCGGAAUUACUGGGCGUGAAGCGCGCGUAGGUGGUUCAGCAAGUUGAAGGUGAAAUCCCCGGGCUCAACCUGGGAACUGCCUCCAAAACUGCAUGACUAGAGUACGGUAGAGGGUAGUGGAAUUUCCUGUGUAGCGGUGAAAUGCGUAGAUAUAGGAAGGAACACCAGUGGCGAAGGCGACUACCUGGACUGAUACUGACACUGAGGUGCGAAAGCGUGGGGAGCAAACAGGAUUAGAAACCCCGGUAGUCC